GACGAACGCUGACGGCGUGCUUAACACAUGCAAGUCGAGCGAUGAAGCUUCUUCGGAAGUGGAUUAGCGGCGGACGGGUGAGUAACACGUGGGUAACCCGCCUCAUAGAGGGGAAUAGCCUUCCGAAAGGAAGACUAAUACCGCAUAAGAUUGUAGCUUCGCAUGAAGCAGCAAUUAAAGGAGCAAUCCGCUAUGAGAUGGACCCGCGUCGCAUUAGCUAGUUGGUGAGGUAACGGCUCACCAAGGCGACGAUGCGUAGCCGACCUGAGAGGGUGAUCGGCCACAUUGGGACUGAGACACGGCCCAGACUCCUACGGGAGGCAGCAGUGGGGAAUAUUGCACAAUGGGGGAAACCCUGAUGCAGCAACGCCGCGUGAGUGAUGACGGUCUUCGGAUUGUAAAGCUCUGUCUUCAGGGACGAUAAUGACGGUACCUGAGGAGGAAGCCACGGCUAACUACGUGCCAGCCGCCGCCGUAA
rnacentral:rRNA from 1 species